AGCAAAAAACAUGUAAUAGUAAGAGAGAUUAAUAAUUUAGAAACAAUUUUAUACCAAAGUUUAAACCACUUACAGAUUUCACACUUUAAAAAUCAUAUCCAACAAACAUUACUACAUAAGAAAAAUUAGAAAUGGCAUAGGGUUAAUGAUAAAAUUAAUAUUUUAGUAGCACAAAAUACACUGAAAUUACAACUUAAAAACCAGCAUUCUUUUCAACUACGAGUUACUAAUUUAAUUUUCAUAGUUUUCAAUAAAGCUAAAAACAAUUUAUUAAAUGAAGGUAACAAAUUCAAUACAUAUCAAACAUUAAACUUUCAAUCAAUUAAAAAGCAAUUAAUACAAUUUGAAUCUGUUAUAAAUUAUAUGCAAUUUCAAAAUCAAAAUUAAACGAUAAAACUUAAUAAACAUCACCAAUAUAAACUACAAAAAAAAAGCCUAAUAAAAUAUUAAAACAAAAAAGUAUAGUUAAAAGACAAAAUACAAUUAUUAAUAACAUACUGAAUAAAUUAAAAACAAAUAAUUCAGAAAUAGUUCCGGUAGAUAAAUCUAAUGCUAUUGUUACUAUAUUUAACCUAACGAAAUUCAUAAAAAAAAAACUUUAGAUCUUAUAAAUAACAAUAAUAUUCAAAACUUAACUGAUGGCCUAAAUAUAAUUUACACUAAACAAAUUAAUAAACUGAUAAAAAAAUUCGAAAAAAAUCAUAUCUAAAGUCCAAAAGAAAAUAUUAAAAUCUGAGAUAUUACAAAAUAGAGGCUCCACAAUUACAUCCACUCAUAAAAUUACAUAAACAAGAUAAUCCGAUUUAUCCAUUAAUUAACUUUAAAACUGCUCCAACUUAUAACCUUUCUAAAUAUUUAGACUCUCAUAAAAGAGAAAUUAAACACGAGUACCGAUACUUCUAUAAUAAACACUUAUGAUUUUUUUAAUAAAAUUAAUAUUAUGCUAGGUUACAAAAUGGUUUCUCUUGACAUUAAAAUCUAUAUUUAUAUAUCCAUUCCUAAACACGAAACAGUAAAUUUUUUAAAAAAUAAACUUAUACAUUGUAAUAAAUUUAAUACAAACAAUGUACAUAAAUUAUUCAAUCAAUAAAUGUAAUUAUCAAUCAAAACUAUUUUCAAUAAAAUAACAAAAUUAUAUUCACAAAAAUAAGGUUUAGUUAUGGGUGGUCCUUUAAGUGCUCUUUUAUCUGAAAUUUACAUGCAAAAUUAUGAAACCAAUAAUAUUAAAAACAAAAUAUAUAGCCUAUAUAUAUAAGCAUAUAUUACAGAUAUAUUGAUAACACGUUCAAUUUAUUUAGAGGUUUAAAUAGACAAGCAGAAAAUGUAGUUAACUACUUUAACAAAAUAAAUAAAAACAUUCAAUUUACACUUGAAAUACAAAUGAAUAAUAAAUUAAAUUUCUUAUAUCUUACAGUUUUCAUAAUAAAUAAACUAAUAAAUAAAUAUUAUAUAUUAUUGUAUAUAUAUUGUACUAUAAUACCACAUGAUUCUAAUCACCCUUAUUCUCAAAUAAUAUCAUUUUUUAAUUCAAUAUUCUAUAGGCUUGAAUGUUUUCCAAUAAAUAAACAUAAUUAUCAACACCAGCUCAAUAUUAUCUAUUAUACAGCCCAUAGAAAUAAUUUCAAUUUAAAUACUAUCAAAAAAAUUCAUAAACGUAUUAAAGAAAAAAUCAUACACAACUCACCAAAUAAUGUUAUUAAUUAUUGUAGUAUGUAAUAUCAAAAUAAUAUGUCUAACAAAUUCGCUAAAAUUCAGAACACUAAUACAAAUAAUGUAAAAAUCGCUUUUAAGACUAAUAAUAAUUUAAUCAUGAACUAAAAACUUUAAGAAAAAUCCCCCUUCUUUUGAAAAUGCCGGUAUAUGGAAACUUAAAUGUAACACAUGUAAUACAUUUUAUAUAGAUAUAACAAAUAGAAAUUUUACAAUAAGAUAUAGAGAAAACAUUUCAGAAAUAAAAUUAAAAAAGACUGCUCCUAAUUCAAAUUUCACUAAACAUGUUUUAGAAAAUAACCAUAAUAUAAGUUUUGAUUUUAAUACAGACUUAUACAGAAAUAUUAAAUACCCAAAAUAAAAUUUAUAUUAAUUCAGUUUUAGAAGAAUUGCAUACUUCAGUGAAUUAAAACAAAAACAAUUUUAAUAAUAUUUUAAAUGUUCAAACCGAUUUUAAAAAUAAUAUCUUAUAUCAUUAUAUUUUAGAUAAUAAAUAAUAAUCAAAUACAUUUUAUUUCUUAACAUAUCUAUGUCUAAUAGUAACUAAUUUUAAAUAAUCUCUGCUAUUAAAAUAAAUUAUUUUUAUAUUCUGUGUAAAACAAACAAAUUAUAUACAUUUUUUUUCUCUUUGUAUUCAUUCAUUUCAUUUUUUAUAUUCAGUCGCGUUUUAUAUUUUGACUGUAAUAUACUUGAUGAGAAAUUUUUAAUUUGAAAUCGGUCAUAUAAUACACUUGUCAUAAUACUCCCAGUGAUACAUUGAUUCAUUUAUUUAUUUUAUUUUUAUACAUAAAUUGUUUAUUUAUAGAUUUAUUUACUUUAAUAAUUUAAGGUUUAUCAAAGAAGAACCAUUUGUUGCUGGUGAAAAAGAGGUGCUGACCAAUGCACCUUCUUGGGUUAUAGAUCUUGUGGACAGUACCACUAAUUUUGUGCAUAGUUAUCUAAAUGUUUAUUAUCUAUAGAUCUGCUCAUUGACCGUGAUGUCGAGUUAGGCAUUAUCUUUAACCUUAUAUUGGACAUGUUUUGUAGAGCAAUAAAAGGCUAAUACGCAUUUUUAAAUGAUGAACCCAUUAAAGU
rnacentral:lncRNA from 1 species